UUCAUCCUGGCCAGGCAUAGUUCACCAUCUUUCGGGUCCCAACGUGUGGGCUCUAGGUCCGCGCCUCAGCAGUGCUCAGCAGUGAAGAGAGCAAGCCAGCCGAUGGCGCGGCCCGCGGAUGCNCCGCACGCCACAAGUGACGGUGGAUCUCCGCUCGUGCCGUCANACGACACUUUACUUUCAUUGCGCGUUUGANAUUAGACAAUCUCAAUCGCUCGCUCACAUGUUAGACUCCUUGGUCCGUGUUUCAAGACGGGCCGCACAUAACGACGCAAAGGCCGAGCCGAAACGUUAGACGNUUCGAAUUUGCGCUGGCCGUCGCCCGGUCGUUCGCCAUCGGCCGGCUUAUUGCAUCGUANACCAGGCCGACCGUCGUCGCUACAGUANAGCGCAUAGUCGACGGAGCACCGCGGCACGACCGUGAGGUC
rnacentral:rRNA from 1 species